CCCCUUUAAAUCCUAGGAACUGCAUUUAAGUGCAUUUUUUUAUUUUUUUAUUUACUUAUGACCUUUUCCCUCGGGUCAUCUAGCAACCGAGGGGAAAUAUUAUUAUCACUACUACGUAAAGACCCUUUCAUCACAGUUGGAAAAAUGAUACUAUCACAGUUGACAAACCGUGGUAAGGUAAAGGGUGGUAGUAAGUAUACUACUUUCCACCACGGGCAUUUGACCGUAUUGAUAAACUAAGUAACAUGCUACCUAUCAC
rnacentral:lncRNA from 1 species